CUCUCAAUCUGUCCCUCCCCAGCUUGUUCUCCCUCUUAAAAAAAGAAAGGAAAAAAACAAGAAUGGCACAGAAGUUCCCUGGUAAAGCAUCCACAUGUGGAAAGUGCUCUCUAUGACAAAGAACACAACAGUCCACAAAAUAAAGUACUGCCAACAGAAACCCACACAACAAAGGGUUUCAAGAGCAAUGUUGUUAGGCUUCUUUGUUAAAAACCUCAGAAGAAAGAGGGAACGAUGCAUCCAUUAACUGGCAGCGAUCAGGACUCUGCACAGGAACCAGUUAAAGAUCAGUCAACUCAAGGCACUGCCGACAGAAACCCUCAGGUCAGGUGCUUAGUAAGGGGGUAAGGCAGGGCCAGCCAGCACACAGAACGCUGGCAAAGGAGCACUCACCCAGGACCCACCUGGAGUCCAGCCUCCUGUGUCCCUCGGACCCGAGUGCACACAGACAUGCCUGGGGCACAUGUGUACUUUAGAAACGCCCCGCCCCCUCUCGGGUCACAAUGUGCACACUGCACAGAGCGCUGCACACCGGCCACGGGCCAGUGUGCCUUCUGGAACAGCUCACAGACACGCUGCACCCAGAGCCUUGUCCCUUGGCCCCUCCAGCGCUCUACAGAGCUCGCUUGGCAUGAAACACACUUUUGGGAAACACCACCUGCACUCUCCCCAAAGUAAAACAAGUUCACGCUGUCAGCCACCUUCACUCUAGCUACCAAUUUCAAAUAAGGUUGUUGUUUUGUCUUCUUAAAGUCUGUCGGUUCAAAGAAGCCGGGGCGACAGAAAGCAGGGACUGCCGGCUGUGGUUCCGGGACACCGAGCCCAGCAUUUUUCUAUCUGAAGAAGUGUCACAAGUUCAGAAUUAAGUGAAACGUUACUCAUCAAUCUUAAAAAUAAUUCUAUUCAACACAACACUUCAGGAGGAAACAAAUCCGAGCACCACAAAUUCUACAGUUUCAACAGGGCUACACGUGUACAGACAACCAACGCGAGUUGCCUCCACGGGAUCAGCACCACCAGAACCUCUCACAACUCCGUACUUUCUCGAGGAAAACGUUCUCAAAGUAGAAGUCGUGCACGCCCGACCUCGUGUUCCAGGCGCAGCCCUCACAGGCCGCACAGCGCCCGUCAGGUACCACACAUGGGUCCCAGCGUGUUAACGACGCAGCGUGCACGCACAGCAGGGACUCUGCAGAAAACCUAAAACGACGUGGGGCUCGUCGGUCAGUGGUGACCUAGGACGCAGACUCCACGCUGUCCCCAAGGCUCGCUGCCAACACGCGGGGCGAACACGCGGGGCGAAAGCACACCUACCUGCCGGCUGCUACGGGGGAGCCGCGCCAGCCGCACGCCCGACAUGUCGAACAGCCUCACUUGCCGGUUGUCGUGUGGGAGGGCGAUUAUCUUCUGGCCGACGCAUACAUUGAUCCUGCGAAGGGGAGACGAAGUGGGUUAUGGAUGAAGUCGGGACGGCACAAGUCUCCGAGUUUACAGACUAUCACGCAGUGGGAGACUUCGCACCAUUCACGCUUCAAGGCAGGUGCUAUCUGUCUGCAGCGUCAGCACACAGAGACCGAGUCACUUACCUGUAAUGACAGUGACUCAAAUGCAGCCCCACAGUGCUUGCCCAAAGGUGGCUCAUUCUUCUCCUUUGAAGCUCACCGCCCCAGCCCGAUUUUAUACUCACAUUUCAGCAGCACACAGGGGAUACUAAAUCUGCAUGAGGAUCAAUAAAAAAUAAUCCCCCCUGCAAAAAAUACUUCCCUGGAAGUCUAAUGCACUUUUCCAAGUGCUCUCUUAAACACCACACGUACGUGAAUAAAACACUGCAUGACAAGCCACCCUCUCAGGACAUAACAAGCAGGACAUAACAUUCACCUGUUGAUGGCAGAGUCUGUGCGAAUAGUCGCAAUGGGGGAUCUCAUAUUCCUUAAAUCCCAGACCUUCACGGUGCGGUCAUCGCUGCCCGAAACAACAUUAUCUCCCACGGUGAACACGGCCGAGGUCACGGUGCUACAAGUAAAGGGCACAGGUUCAAAAGAUCAUCAGCAAGUCCCAGGAUGCAGAUACAAGUCCUCUCCACCUGCGUAAUGAGCACACAAUCCCGCUGCCAGAGACUGGUGAGGCAGGUGGAAAGGCUACUGGAGACGUGGAAGCGGACAGUUGUCUCCGACUCCACUAACUCCUGCUUCAAUCUCCCUGUGAGUGUAAACACAAUGAGCAUUAGAAAAGUACAGUCCAUUCUACUCAGCUCUACCUUCUCAGGCAAUGGAGCAAAGAGAAGCUACCGGAAGACAUCGAUUAGACAGAACCUGCCAAAAUGUCUACAUACUCGCACCUGACAGCACAAAUGUAAAAAAAAAAAAAGAAAAGAAAGAAAAGAAAAAGAAAAAUCCAGCCUAACUUUCAGUUUAACCAAAACAUUGGAGAAAAACCUAUUCCUUUAACUCAACCACCACCACCACCACCACCAAUUUAAAAACGUGCCAAGAAUUUAGACAGAACUUUCUCCACGGAAGAUUCACAAAAGGACAAAAAGCCCAUGAAAAGAUGCUCACUGUCAACCAUCAGGGGAACGCAAAUCAAAACCACAGCAUCCCAUCUCACUCCCCUUAGAAUGCCUUCCAUCAAAAAAACAGAACACAAGUGUUGGUCAGGACGUGGAGAAAAGGAACCUCAUGCCCUGUUGGUGGGAAUGCAAGCUGGUGCAGCCACUGUGGAGGACAGUGUGGAGGACAGUGUGGAGGCUCCCUGUACAGUUAAAAAUAGAACUACCCUGUGAUCCAGCAACACCACUACCGGGCACGCAUCCCAAGGAAACGGAUCAGUACCCUGAAGAGGUACCUGCGCCCCCACGUUCACAGCAGGCAGGACACGCAAACCACCUAAUGUUGACACACAAAUGUACAAAGAAGAUGGCAUGUGUGUAUGAACAACAGGGUCUUAUUGGGCCAUAAAAAAAAGACACAAAUCCCGCUGUCAUCACGGGGAUGAAUGUGGACACCAUGCUAUAUCAGGCAGUGGAGGGGGGCCCACGUGUGAUGCACAGAGAACAGGGGGAGGAAGGUAAGCCCGGACUUGAAGCCAACGGCCCCUCUGAACCCCCGUCUCAAACACAGAGGAGCGUCAGGCCUGGCCUGGUGCAGAGGCCGCGACAAGCUGGGAGGGACUCUGACGCCCGGCCUCCCCCGUGGACUCCGGUUCUCAGGGAGUUGUGGCCAAGUUAAAUUUCAGUGAACAUUCUGCUCAAUUAAUGAAAAAAGUCUCCACAAAAGACCGUCUCACCUUAUGUUAAUGAAAUGCUGAAAGACAUUAGGUUUUUAAUAAAUCACCAUCCUGACAGGUAUUGUAGGGCAUCAAAGGGAAAAGCUGGCGCGGGGGCCAUGGCUCUCGAGGCACCCUCGGACUCAGGUCCCCGGGGGAACCCACUGUGCCAUGACUGCUCACUGGAAAAGCUCAGACUCUGCCGAACUCCAGCCGACUCAUUUAUCUUGUCGCCGAGAGCAGCCGGGCGUGUGCUUCCAGCUGACAGCGCACUACCUUCUCACCGCACACCACUGGCCGAUCUGGAACAUUCUGCUCCCUCCGCGGGUCUCAAUCACCGGAGAGACUGUAAUGCUAGCACUCCUCAUUAGGACUAACAGCUGUCUUCCCAGUCACACAGAGACACAAAGCUGUUUUGCAUAACAAUCUGCCGGAAUUUCAUAGCUAAGAAAAAAAAAACACACACGAUGUGUGGAAAAUGCUGGCCCGGAAAUGCCAGGCAGUGCGCUCUCCUGGCCCCACAUCAGAAACAGCGCAGAGCCCCCCGCUUCUCACCUUUCAGAUGGAGCUCGCCACAAAACCAAGAGAUCCGUUUGCAUCAGAAGGACAGAGCAGAGGAGCAAGCACUCAGGCAAGGGCAGGGGCGUCCUCUGGACGGGAGUCCGCCUUUGAAGAGUGCAUCCAGGAGGAAAUCAGUGUGGCCCAUCGCCCUACCAAGGACGGGGCAGUGUUUGUGACAUCCCUGCAGCCUAGCACAGGCCGGCAGGACAGACCACACCUGCCCUCACGUCUGCACACAACGGAAGACCUGUCCUGACCACGUCCUCCCUGGCUACCGCUUCCCGCUUCCCAGACCGUCCUUUGAAACUAAGCCCCGCACAGACGAAGCAAGUCCUCUGCAGCCUGCCCUAACAUGGAGGGUCCUGGAGAGCACACGCACUGUGCCCGGCCCACCCCGUGUACUCCUCAGUGCGCACACGACGCACAUGGGCCUGUGUCUUAAGAUCUGAGACAACUAAAUGGAAAACAACCCUUUUCCAAAUGAUACAUUUCUGAAUACUCCUUGAUGGCGAACUCUCAAAAAAGCAGGCCCUAAGAUAAACAUUUAAAGGAAAAGUCACACUUGUGUCACAUCUGGUUCGCUUUCAGGAUCUGGAAUUCAAAUGCUCCCAGAAGAAAGAAGUUAAAGCAGCGCCAGCUCAGUAUCCAACCCGGUCCCCCUCCUCCCUGAGCCUGUCUUCGGCAAACCGAGACGUCGUCACCGACAGGACCGAAGUGCACGACCGCCCCCUCGACGGAGCAGGUCCCGCUCGCCUCAGGGAACAUGCCACAGCGAACAAGGUGGAGUGAGGACACCCCAGCGGGGCAGCGACGGGACAGGGGCAGUUUUCGGGCAACAGCGUAACUGUGACACUGAAACGAGCCGCUGCUGGGACUUGUGACAAUACCUCAGAGAAGCUUCGCGAUCACCAGGGUCAUCACGCCGCAGCGAUGGCUGCGAGCGGCAUCACAGGUGCAUCAGAACGGUGCCUUUCGUUAACCAAGUUCUCCUCCAGCGCAUUUUAUUAACUGAAUCAGUAACUUUUCCAUAGAUUAUUCAAAGAUGAUCAUUCUACACAACUUGAUUUAAAAGGGUUACAGAGAUUUUUAAACAAGGGGGUUACAGAGAAGUUAAACUUAGGAAGAUUCACAGGGUAACCUCAUGCUUGUAGUAUCAAGGGCCAAGGCUCUGAUUUCCUUUCUGUGAAGCCUGGUCACUAUUUCAUUCUGAUCAAACAAUGUAACAGCCAAGCAUAAAUAAGUUUUGAAUAUU